UUCUCCCUUCCUGUCCAUUUUCUCUCCCUCUUCUCUUACAUUUUUUUUAGACUUUUUCCUAUCUUUAUCCUCUCAUUCUCACACCUAAACCCAACCCAAAAAGGGAUAUGGAACCAUGGACUAGCACCUCCUAUUUAUAGGGAAUAAGGGGGCAAACCAUGGGACGCCAACUCUUAGCGUCCCUUAAUUCUUACAUGCCACCAAUUAAAUUUUGAAUGGA
rnacentral:lncRNA from 1 species